CCUACGGGUGGCAGCAGUGGGGAAUAUUGGACAAUGGGGGCAACCCUGAUCCAGCCAUGCCGCGUGUGUGAAGAAGGCCCUCGGGUCGUAAAGCACUUUCAGUGAGGAAGAACGCCUGGUGGUUAAUACCCAUCAGGAAAGACAUCACUCACAGAAGAAGCACCGGCUAACUCCGUGCCAGCAGCCGCGGUAAUACGGAGGGUGCGAGCGUUAAUCGGAAUUACUGGGCGUAAAGCGCGCGUAGGUGGCUUGAUAAGCCGGUUGUGAAAGCCCCGGGCUCAACCUGGGAACGGCAUCCGGAACUGUCAAGCUAGAGUGCAGGAGAGGAAGGUAGAAUUCCCGGUGUAGCGGUGAAAUGCGUAGAGAUCGGGAGGAAUACCAGUGGCGAAGGCGGCCUUCUGGACUGACACUGACACUGAGGUGCGAAAGCGUGGGUAGCAAACAGGAUUAGAUACCCUGGUAGUC
rnacentral:rRNA from 1 species